UCGAGAAGCUUCGGCAAUGGGCGAAAGCCUGACCGAGCGACGCCGCGUGAGCGAUGAAGGCCCUAUGGGUUGUAAAGCUCUGUCAGAUUGGGACGAAAACUUCGAGGUUAAUACCCCCGAAGCUUGACGGUACCAUCAGAGGAAGCACCGGCUAACUCCGUGCCAGCAGCCGCGGUAAUACGGAGGGUGCAAGCGUUGUUCGGAUUCACUGGGUAUAAAGGGUGCGUAGGCGGCGCGAUAAGUCAGGGGUGAAAUAUGUCGGCUCAACCGACAAACUGCCUCUGAAACUGCCGCGCUUGAGGUCGGGAGAGGAAGGUGGAAUUCCAGGUGUAGCGGUGAAAUGCGUAAAUAUCUGGAGGAACACCAAUGGCGAAGGCAGCCUUCUGGUCCGAUUCUGACGCUGAGGCACGAAAGCUAGGGGAGCAAACGGG
rnacentral:rRNA from 1 species